rnacentral:rRNA from 1 species
UACGGAGGGUGCAAGCGUUAAUCGGAAUUACUGGGCGUAAAGCGCGCGUAGGCGGCUGGUUAAGUCGAUUGUGAAAGCCCCGGGCUCAACCUGGGAAUUGCAGUCGAGACUGCUCGGCUAGAGUGUGGGAGAGGGUGGUGGAAUUCCCGGUGUAGCGGUGAAAUGCGUAGAUAUCGGGAGGAACAUCAGUGGCGAAGGCGACCACCUGGAUCAACACUGACGCUGAGGUGCGAAAGCGUGGGUAGCAAACAGG